GAGGAUAUAGCUCAGUGGUAGAGCACGUGCUUAGCAUGAAUGAGGUCCUGGGUUUAGUCCCCAGUACCUCCA
rnacentral:tRNA from 1 species